UAACGUUGGCGGCGUGGAUUAGGCAUGCAAGUCGAGCGAGAAGCUUGUUUUCGGAUGAGUGGACAGCGGCGAAAGGGAGAGUAACGCGUAGAAAUGUACCCUGGGGCUCGGAAUAGCGGAGAGAAAUUUCCGGUAAUGCCGAAUAAUGUCUUCGGACCAAAGGUUUACCACCUUGGGAGCAGUCUGCGUUCUAUUAGCUUGUUGGUGGGGUAAUGGCUUACCGAGGCAAAGAUGGAUACCGGGCGUGAGAGCGUGACCCGGCUCACUGGGACUGAGACACUGCCCAGACACCUACGGGUGGCUGCAGUCGAGAAUCUUCCGCAAUGGACGAAAGUCUGACGGAGCGACGCCGCGUGCUGGAUGAAGGCCUUCGGGUUGUAAACAGCUGUCAUAGGGGAGGAAAUUUUGACCGAUCCUAAGAGGAAGCACAGGCUAAGUUCGUGCCAGCAGCCGCGGUAACACGAACUGUGCGAACGUUAUUCGGAAUCACUGGGCUUAAAGGGUGCGUAGGCGGUCUUGUAGGUCAGAUGUGAAAUCCCACGGCUCAACCGUGGAAUUGCGUUUGAAACCACAGGACUUGAGUAAGAUAGAGGUAAGCGGAACUGAUGGUGGAGCGGUGAAAUGCGUUGAUAUCAUCAGGAACACCGGUGGCGAAAGCGGCUUACUGGGUCUUUACUGACGCUGAGGCACGAAAGCUAGGGGAGCGAACGGGAUUAGAUACCCCGGUAGUCCUAGCUGUAAACGAUGAGCACUAGCUCGUGCCCCCUCC
rnacentral:rRNA from 1 species